rnacentral:rRNA from 1 species
UUGGAGGGCAAGUCUGGUGCCAGCAGCCGCGGUAAUUCCAGCUCCAAUAGCGUAUAUUAAAGUUGUUGCAGUUAAAAAGCUCGUAGUUGAAUUUCGGGAUCAGUUGGUCGGUCGUGCCUCGGUACGUACUGGUCAAAUUGAUUCCUACCUUCUGACGAACCACGAUGUCAUUAAUUUGGUGUCGCGGGAAAUCAGGACUGUUACUUUGAAAAAAUUAGAGUGUUUAAAGCAGGCUCGCGCUUGAAUACAUUAGCAUGGAAUAAUGAAAUAGGACGUUUGAUUCUAUUUUGUUGGUUUCUAGGAUCGACGUAAUGAUUAAUAGGGAUAGUUGGGGGCAUUAGUAUUCAAUCGUCAGAGGUGAAAUUCUUGGAUUUAUUGAAGACUAACUACUGCGAAAGCAUUUGCCAAGGAUGUUUUCAUUAAUCAAGAACGAAAGUUAGGGGAUCGAAGACGAUCAGAUACCGUCGUAGUCUUAACCAUAAACUAUGCCGACUAGGCAUCGGAUGAUGUUAAUUUUUUAAUGACUCAUUCGGCGCCUUACGGGAAAC